rnacentral:lncRNA from 1 species
GACAGUAUCCAUUUCUUCACGAACAGAAGAAAAUAAACCAUGUACAAUUCACCUAUAAGUGUACAAAUUGUUAAUUGUACUUAGGAAUUGACAUAAUAGAACUUUAAUAUCAUCCUAUUGGAAGGCUGUCGCCAUGGUAACUCAUUAUGCCUCAAUGCUAUCAGCAAAAUACCUCAAACAUUUAAAUGUAAUGCUAAGAAUGAUACAAAUAUUAAUAAUUUAUAACAAAAUUUAAUCCUG